GGCCUACCAUGGUGGUAACGGGUAACGGGGUGUUAGGGCACGACACCGGGGAGGGAGCCUGAGAAACGGCUACCACAUCCAAGGAUGGCAGCAGGCGCGCAAAUUACCCAAUCCCGACACGGGGAGGUAGUGACAAUAAAUAACAAUACGGGGUUCUUUCGGAUCUCGUAAUUGGAAUGAGUACAAUUUAAAUCUCUUAACGAGGAACAAUUGGAGGGCAAGUCUGGUGCCAGCAGCCGCGGUAAUUCCAGCUCCAAUAGCGUAUAUUAAAGUUGUUGCAGUUAAAAAGCUCGUAGUUGAAUUUCGGGGUCAAUAAGUUGGUCGUGCCAAUGGUAUGCACUGGCUUUAUUGAUCCCUACCUCUUGACGAACUGUGAUGCCAUUAAUUUGGUGUCGCAAGGAAUCAGGACUGUUACCUUGAAAAAAUUAGAGUGUUUAAAGCAGGCUUACGCUUGAAUACAUUAGCAUGGAAUAAUGAAAUAGGACGUUUGAACCUAUUUUGUUGGUUUCUAGGAUCGACGUAAUGAUUAAUAGGGAUAGUUGGGGGCAUUAGUAUUCAAUUGUCAGAGGUGAAAUUCUUGGAUUUAUUGAAGACUAACUACUGCGAAAGUAUUUGCCAAGGAUGUUUUCAUUAAUCAAGAACGAAAGUUAGGGGAUCGAAGACGAUCAGAUACCGUCGUAGUCUUAACCAUAAACUAUGCCGACUAGGGAUCGGAUGAUGUUAAUUUUUUAAUGACUCAUUCGGCGCCUUACG
rnacentral:rRNA from 1 species